rnacentral:lncRNA from 1 species
UACAACUGACACCAAAGAUGGAAAUUGACCAGAAUGGUCUGAUUGCAUGAUCAUUUGUGAGAGAGAUCUAAAACCACCAUAACAAGGAUACGUAUUAAACUUUGUGCCAAAGGACCAGAAAAAGGGAAGAUUUGAUCAACAAUGAAGUUUGUGAGGAAGGCUUGGAGUUACAUUGGAGGUAGCAUUAAUAAGAGUUAAUUGGUAAUAGAUCAACCCCAUGUAGUUGAAACAAAUGUUGAUGGUUAUGGUUGUGUUUGUGUGGCAUGUGCCUGCAGGUACAUGUGCAUCAGUCUGCACCUGCUGCAUAUGUACAGAAAGAUACCCGUAUAAGCAAGAUAAACACUGAAUAUAUUGAUACAACUAACAGUGAAGCUAAAUCAGCAAACAUGCUUAUCUCAUUACCAGAUCAUAAUAAAUAUUUCUUUCUCCAAUCUGAAAGAGCCCAUCAGACUUCAUAUUGGAACUACAUAUAGGAUAAGCAUACUUCCUUUUCCAAUUAUCUAAGUUUGUUUGUUGUGUUGAUGACACAUUGACGCCAAGGGUAAGCUUGUAUAUAAAAAGCUCUAUUUCCACAUUGUCUAAAUUCUAAAUUAUACUUUUUUAUAUUAUGCAAACCAACUUACAGCCAGUGAGACUUCAACAGCUCUUCUCUCAUACUCCACAUCUUCAAAUGUAUCUAGGACAUCUAACUCGCGAUCUGUAAUUCCUAGAAGAACCUGUAAGCAAGAAAUUCAUUAGACCAUAAUCAAAUAUCAGGGGAGAGCUAGAAAAUUAUGCAUCUCAUUGUGCUUGUAAGUUGAUGAGUAGAAACUAAUUUCCAUGGGGCAGAAAGAGUGAAACAUAAAAAAAAAAAAAAAUCUUAUUUUUUCUAAUAUUGCAUGAUUCUAGGUUUUCAUCACAUUUUUAACCCCAAACAUCAAGCAAAGUAGAAGAAAUAAGAACCUCUUUAACUCACAACCUUGUUCAUCAGGUGGAGUGCAACCAGGCCAACAGACAAAGUAAAUUAGAUGAUCAACCAUCGAGUAAAUAGUGAAAAAUGGUAAAAUUAUAGCAGAAGUUUUUUAGAUAGUUUGUGAUUUGCUGUAAAAUAAGCAUCUUCCAACUUCUGCGGAAUUGAACUUCCACUUGACACUCUUUUUAGGUGUCAUUUCUCAUGACAUUAACCAAAUCAUUAUCAUUUGGAGCCCAAUAAUUCUGUCUAAGAAUACGUUCCAGGAGAAUCAGACUUUUAAAACUCUUAUGUGGUGGUGGUAUUCAGAUUUCAAACACAGUCUGGCAUUAAAUGAGAAUAUCAGUCAUAAUUUUCAGUAAAUGACUUAACAUUCUAAUUUCUAAAAGUUCCUAUAAACGAUCCACCAUAUAGGUAAUUCUCUUGAAUCAUCUUGAAUCAUCUGAAAAAUUAAGUUUUGAAUCAUCUUGUAAUUUGGCUUAUCGUAUACAUACAUACGUAUACACUUAUAUAUGCAUGUAAAAAUAUCCACAUCUGUAUUUCCUUCAUGUAGCACAGAUUAAUCCAGAUUAGGCAUUCCAUGAGUAAUAUUAGGCAGUAGGCUCACAUUAUAAAGAGUAAGCUAAAACUAUGCACUUCUGUAAGCUAUAUCCCUGAUGACAUAGAUAGUAAACGAGGUCAUGCCUGCCCAAAGGGGUUUACCUCGCAAAUCAGAGUUUCCAAGGGUAAUAUUUCUCAAAUUCUCAAUUUAAGUUCACGAAGUGGUCCCAUGCAAUGACACUGCCUGACUCCUUCUAAAAACCAAACCCCAAUGAUAUAGAUUGGUUACAAUAGAAGCACCAGCUGCUUUAAACAUCCAUAGGGAUUCAAAACGUAGGGCUGUGUGCAUCCUAGUAAAUGAAAGUAUGAAACAAGACAUGUGUCUCAGAUCUUGACAGUGGAAUCAGAAUUAAAAAUGUGCACACACCCUGUAUGAAAGAUAAAACAGGGAACGUCAUUUGAAAUCUACAGUCAAAAUGUGAUCCUACAUGUACCAAAUUUCUACUUGCCAGGCCCUGAAAAGCACCUCAUAGACAAGUAUAGCCCUAUCAGGCCUUGGCCGCUAGAACAGCCUGAGCACACAACAUCCUAUGGCCAACUAGUUCUGGAAUCCAGGGGCAUUUCCAACAAAAAAUUUAAAGGGCAUAGAUAUGAAAAAAAAUGAAUGAAGGAAAUCAUAAUGUGAUUGGUGCAUACACACUCACCCACAAUAACAUGUACACACAUGCAAAAACAUACUACAUGCCCAGACAAGUCAGCCACCACCCCCAGCCACAGAAUUCCAUGAAUGCACACAUGUUUGGUUUACUGUGGAAAGAUACAUACCCAUUCAGAUGCACAGCCACAUGAAACAUGUGCAUAAACAAGCUCAUGCGGCAUAUGCACAAACAUCUGUAUGCACACAAGCUUGAACAUACGUCAGCCCACAUCGGCACAAAAACAGACAGGCACUAAAAUAACAUUAGGCAAACCAUGCCGAAGAAAAGCUACAUACUGAUCCCAUCAUAAUUUGAAGCACAUCUAAAACAUAAAUGAAGGAUCACAAAGUUAAACAAACAUUGACCAAAACAAUUAGCAUGAAAAAUAAAAUUUCUGAGUAAGUGAUGAGAAGAUAAGUUGUAUCUCAAUUAAGAAUCUAUCAAAAUGGAUUAUAAAAAAACACGAAACAUAUCAAACAGUGAAAGUAACAGAACAAAAGCCAUCUUGCAGUGUACAUAUUCAAAGAAUAAAAUCGUUACUUCUAUCUAGAUAGAUAGAUUUAAAAUGGUAGAUAAAGGCAUCUUAUUUCCAACCAAAAAAGCUUGUUUUCUAUAACCUUCUCUAGCAAAAGAAUAUGCAAAGUUACUGUCCUCCUUAGGCAAUGUAUAAAAUAACUUUUCAAUUCACGGUGAAAUUGUUCACCAGGUUUGCAAAAGGCUGCACCUUCUACGACCCAAGCAAUAGCUAAAGGUGUUGUAUGAUUUCCUUUUGACAAAUAAUCCUAUUUUUCACAUGGAACGACAGAGGUAACUUCAAAAUUACAGAAAAAUCAAAGCUUGAGAAAGAAAAUAUGGAACUCAGCUUCCAACAGACAAAGAGAAGUAAGAAUCAAGAGAUGCAUCUCAUAACUAUACAAUGGAAAAUGGAUACAUAAACUUCAAGAGCAAACUACACCGAAGACAAACAAUAUAUAGAAUAGGAGAAAAAGAUAUAUAUAUAAUUUGUGUAUUCUGACUAUGGAAGAAGCAAAGAAACAUCCUUUUUCAGAGACAAAUAAUCCAUCUAGUAUAGAGAUAAGAGACAUCAGAAAUCAUAUCAGGAUUUGAUUUCUAUACCCAACAUCAACAAAUGAAGGAUGAGUACAGGAAAAAAAAGUUCGAUGAUUAAAUUGAUGAUCCAUCUAAUAUGCUUCAUCCAUAAUCGCUCGAAAGGCUGAAAAAUAAACAUCUGCCGGAUAUUAUAUUAAGCAGCAAGAAGACUAAGUUAUGAGGUGAACUUCUGCAAAGCACCAACAGUUAGUUUAACUGAAACAACUAGAUAGGGAAGGCCCUUCUAACCAACCUUUCCUGCAACUUUUUUAUUCUCUACAGGCAGAAUUGCUGGAUAAACACGCCCCUUAAUACUAAACCUGUGGCUGCAAGAAUAAAGCUUAUGUCAACAUUACUGCCACUUCACAGUAAACAUUUGUGUGCAUAUGAGAUUUGAAUUCAUCUUAUCUGAACAAUGAGACUACAUGAUUAAAUUAGAACAGAAGUUGAAUUUGGAUAUGCGUCCUUGGUAUAUCAGGUCAUGGUAUCCAAUGUUUUGGCCCCCAUGCCCCUCUAUUUAUUUAUUUGUCUGGUUCUACAUGCAAAUUAGCAUCCAAUUUCCAAAUAUCAUGCAAAUCCGAGUAAAAGCAACAGGAGAAACAAGAACUUUGUUGGUUCGACCAACGCAUUCGUCACUUUAAAAUCUUGAAAAGGAAAAGAAAAGAAAAACCGUGCAGUCACUUUCUUUCCCUCAAUUGUCUGGGGCAUUGGGCCAGCUGCAGGCAAAUCUGGACUCAAGGGGACAAAGAAAAAGGGUUUUGAUUGAUUGCAUCAUGGUCCCAAACAAAAAAAUCAUGAAGAUCGACGAAUUGAAAAGAAGUGGGAGAACAUGAGUUCUCAAAAUACAAAUCAAGAACAUCAAGAACGUGGAAAUUAAAAAGAAAAAAAAAUCCGAAACCUAGGAUCAGAAUUCAAACCGAGUUCGACAGCAGAAGUUUCUUGAUAUUAAUUCUCGGCCGCAUCGUCAACGUACUCUUCUUCUUUUAAUCUUCUUUACUGAAGGAAAACGAAAACAACAAAUAAAAAAGAAAAGAAAAGUGGGAACUCCUCCUUUCCCUCUCAUUAUUAUUCAAGAAGAAGGGGUUUCCAUCGUGAAUUAUAGGCGGGGGCUUACGAUCGAUUCUAUGACGGCGUCCAUAUGAAAUAGUCUAUGCCAAUCGAAGAAGAGGAGAAAAAAAAAAGAUUAACCUUAAUAAUAAGAAGGAGGAGGAGGAGGAGGAGGAGGAGGUACUGGUGAUGAAGGACGGCAGGAGAGGAGGAGGGCACGCGCUUGAGGAGGACUUGCACCACCUCAUCGGCGAGCAGACUCCCGUACACGAACACGCUGUGGAGAGGAAGAGUGGAGGCGGCCGCAGCAGCUGCAACGGCGGUCACGCUCACACCCUCGCCGCCCAUCUCUCUCUCUCUCUCUCUCGAGAAGACAAUAGGAUAGUCGAGCCGUCACCUUACGCGAGAACUUUUGGAUCAGAACAGGGAAAGCUGGAAUUUGGACCUUAUACCUCGUACGUAGGGCAAAAAAGGUUCCGAUAUAAAUCGGAUAAUAAAAUAUCUAUAUUUAUAUUUAUUUUUAGUUGAGAAACAUUAAUAUUGUUACUACAUAUAUCAAUUGGAUAAUUGAUUUUAUGAUCUACCAAAUCAACGAUGCGAUGUGUUAACACUGCCAUCUAUUUCUUAUGAAGUUUAGGUCUUGACUAAACAAGGUUACAAACAGCAAGAGAUAUUUAAUGAUCUAUUGAUGUUUUUCUUUUAUACGAUAUAGAUAAUGCUGGAAUUUAUAUCCAUAACCAGUUGGAUUCAAAUACAAAAUUGAAUCUAGGUACUAUUGGAUCCAUUUAACACAUGUAAAUGCCCUCGUAAGACAUGACAUUCAGAUCCUUAUCAUUCAGCACAUGUAUAUGCCGAAUAUCACAAGGGAAAAAAAUUAAGGAGUGCUUUUUUUCUUUUAUCAUAUGAAGACUGAAGAGGAAUUUGAUCAUCAGAAGUAAACUUCAAACAUCCACACCAAAUUGAAGAUAAAAUAGGACGACAAAAUGUUUAUUCUAUAGAGGAUGUUCUCUCCAAAAUUUUAUUUAUAUGCCAAAAAUGCUUCAUAGAAGCAUAUGUUCUGGCAUUACAUUCUGGUACAAUAAAAUCAAAUAUUUGCUUUUUAAAAUAUUCGCGCAUGAAUUUGCUGGCUCUUGCAAAGUUUGGUGUGCUCCAAUAAAUCAUAAUACCUAUACCUGCAUUGCAUCACAUGCAUAACUUUAUUGAAUAUAAAGUUUUCACCGUCUUCUAUGGAUAUAUAGUAGCACAUCUUCGUAGAAGUGAAAAAAAAGAGAUACCAGCACUGCAGUUCUAAAACUCCUUUUUAAGAAAAGCACACUCCCCACCACCCCCACCCCAACCCAAAACCAAAACCUAACUACUAACUAACUACACACACNNNNNNNNNNNNNNNNNNNNACACACCUACCCCACCCCCCCCCCCCCCCCUCCCAAAAAAAAAAAAAAAAACCCAUUCCUUUAUAAACUUACAACAGCAACAAUUGUCAAAAUUCCAACAGCAACAAUUUUAGAAGUCGAGAAAGAGCUUCACAACUGUCAAAAUUCCAUCCAAUAUGCCCCCACGCAAGGCACACGUAUUAUGGGAAAAUGGAAAUUCGUUGCAGGCCAAGCUUGACAGCAUAUGCUAAACAUUAGCUUGUUUUAUCACCUGAACCAAGCUUGAGCAAGCUUGUUAUUAAGCCAAUAAUGUGCAUUGCUCGGUAGCAAAUUAGACAUCAAGGUGCUUCGAACACCUUUCACUACUUCAUAGUUCGCUAUGCGGACAUUGCAACUUUAAUUAUAAAGGGAGAAGAGAAGAUGCUGUUGUACCAUGGAAAUAAGAGGCUGAGGCAGUGACAAUAGCUUCACUAAAAUAAAGCCAAUUGUUUUAUCAAGAAAAAAAUAAGGUACAAAAGGGUUGAAUGAUUCAUCCUAGCUCCACCAAACCUCUUGCAUAUCCAGUAACGAGUUACAUAUUUUUCUGUAUGCGGUGCACAAUUACCACUAAUUCCUUAAGAUUAUGAAGCGGUUGCAAGAAGAGUGGAUGAUCUCGAGGGAAGAAAGAAACAAAAAGGGAGAGACAGAGAGGGGAAAAAAUAAUGAAAAGAAUGAACGGAGGAACAGAAACGAAAGGAACAGGGAAGAACCAUGAAUCAGCAAGAUUUCUUAUAACAUAAGUGAAGUCGGCGAUCUCUAAAACUCAAAGCAUCGAGAACCAACAUGCAUGCCUCUAGCACUAACACAAGACAAACUCCCUCCACAAUAAACUCAAGAACAGGCGCUAAACGCAAACGAUCGUUAUUUGAUGUGGAUUAUUGCACACACAUCAAACACAAAUCACAUACAGAAACAGUAGAGGAAGGUGUUUACAGAGAGAAAAGGUAGCUAUCUUUAUAACUGAAAAGCAACUUUAAUUUCUCAUUCAAAGAGACGUAUAUGCUUUUUUUUAAAAUAGAUAAAUGUAAUCAGAGAUUAAUAGAUGUUUAUAAAUAAAUUUAAUAUAAAAUGAAAUAAAAGUAUUAAUUUACGAGGAGAAAUUAAAGGAAUAUGCAACCAGCCUGAUGAACAGGAAUUAAGAAAAAUUAUAAUUGUCUGUUUUACUUAUAUAAUAAAAAAUAUCAUGAUAUAAAUAACACAUUAUUUAUGCUAAUCAUUAUAGGGCAAACGAGUUGUCAAAAGAAUUCGAUUAUAUAAUAAGAGUAAUGACACAAAAGUACCUUGUUGUUCAUACUAAUUAGUGUAAAUUUAGGGAUUUACUUUCAAUAAUCAAAUUAGCAGGGGGUAGUUUAGAUCAAAACCGGAACUGUUUACUUUUAGGAGUACUGCAGAUAAGAACUCAAAGUUUUGAUGAAUAUCUCAUUACAAGAAAAACAGUAAGUUCAUAGCUUCAAAUGAACGUUCUUUUCCUGGCAAUAGCUUUAUACUAUGAUGAAUAAAAUCCAGAAUACUCAUCACACUUGAUCAAAGUAUUUUCCAAGACUUAAUUAGCACUAAGCUCCAAGCACUUGUGCAGUGAAAUAUGAUCAAUAAUUCAGCCAGGGGCAAUCCAGUACCGAACUCCAGAAGUGGGGCACAAAGUCAUUCCAAAGUAAUAGAAGAUGGCAUUCAAUGUGAAAAGGUCAUGCUGGGCAUGAAACCAGUGCUGAAGAUCCAUGUGCUCAUGUGCUCAUUGGCUCAGCACUGCUGGAGGAGAGGAUAUCGAGCAGGGAAUUUUGGGGCUCCAGCUCUUCAUGCCACAAUGGCAGAGAGUCACCAGUAUAGAAGUUCCUCGUAACACCAUCAGCAUUGAUCUGCAAAACCAUCAAUUCUCAGUGAGAUCAUACAACAUUGGAAUGAGGUCUCAAUUGCAAUCUGAUGGGCAUUUCAAAAUUUGCUGAAGAAGGAAAGCAAGCACUGUUUUGAUGGAUGUUGCAGAAUCAAAGAGCUUAUUGCCUUUUUUAGAAUAAGAGAUCAAAUCGAAGAAAGGUGCAUUGCAGAACCACAAGGUCGAUAUUUGAUGGCUCUACUAGAUGUCAUUUGAUAUGACGGUUGACAUCCAUUCAUUUAACUAAUGCAGCCAUAAUCCACAUGAUAGGCCAGUAAGUCCAUGACAAGAAUUUUAAUCAAGUUCACCAAAGUGAACAUAUCAUAACAAAUUGAGCAAACAUCAGGGGAAAGCAAAAUAUACCAUGUGUCAGAAGCCGGGAAACCUAUCAUCCAUGAAAUUUUACAGUCAUGGAGAACAUGGGGUCAUACAGACUACUUGAACAAAGGGUAGAAACCACAAGCAAAAAAUGUAUGCAAUUGAAGUCUGAAUAAAAAAGAACCUCGACACUCAUCAACUGCAUCCAUUUUAACAUAAAAAAUUGAAAGGUAAUGAUGGCAAAUCUUUGUGAAGGUACAGCAUGUAAAUUGUUUAGAAAUGAAAAAUGGAAAAAGAAAAGCUGAUUCCUAUAAGGCAUAAAUUUUGAAUAACAGUUUCCUGGGAAAUCUGCUGAUGACAUGAUCUUGUAUGGUGAAUAUAGUUUAGAUACUCACAGUAACAGUGCGGACAACACCUCCACUCGCUCCAUCGCGUGCAAUGGCGAGAGAGACUGCUUCCACCACUAACUUCUGCAUUGCAUAGGAAAGAUGCCAAAAAAUGUCAGGCAAAUUCCUGGUAUUAAUGGUCUGGAAAAUCUUGUCUGAAUGUCUUUAUGAAUUAAUAUUAGCAUAAGCACAUAAACAAGGCAACAAAGAUAAACAUCUUGGUCUGCUAACGAAUCAAAUAAAAAAAAAGUGUAUCGGGCGAAAUGAUGCCCUCGUCACAAAGGACCUAUAGAUCAAUGUAUAUAUUUAUAAUCACACAGAGCAUGACAACCAGAAUUGAGUCAGACCAGGAUAUCUGCAUCACUUAGUGUCCCAUUGCUAGAAAUAUUAAUGUAAUGUAAGUUCAAUGCAGAACCAUAUAUUUAUCUGCUGACUUCUUUUAGAGAGAGAUCAUCAAAUAAUUAAUCAUUAUGGGAGGAAAUGAAACUUUUUUAUCAGACAUUACUGACUAUUAGCAUUGACCACUUCCUUAUGAAAAAAGAACACUGUUUCACAGUUUCAUGCUAGGAUUGUUUUGCAAUGCAUUUCUAGGAGAAAUGGGAGCUAGAAAUUUCAGAAAUUAUAAAUUUUUUAACAUCCAUGAUAGGAUGAAAAUGACAAAUUUGCAUAUUAUACACCCUUAUACACACACAUAUACACUUAGACUUUCUUUUGGCUAUUAGCAUGUUAUAGCUGUUAGCGUGUUGUAGCCCAGAACAUGGCAUCUUUAUAGUUUCUGUUGUACAACUAGAACCCAGGAAACACAAUAUCAUGGAACCAAUUUAGUUUACAAGAUCUGACCAAAAAAUACAAGUCAGUUUAGAAGAGAAAUUCUGAUGUAAAAAAAAAGAGGCAGGUGAAACAUUAGUCACUUGAUUUCCACUUUACAUACCUCGGCUUCAUCUUUACUCAUGCCUUCCUUCCAUUCUUUAUCAAAGAAUCCAUACAAGUAGCUGGAACCAGAUCCUGUUAGAUGCAAAAUUGUUACCAUUGACAGCCAUUAUAUGAUAAAUUCCAUGCAUUGACCUUCAUCCACUCCAUGCAAGUAAACUUUUUUCUCUUUUCUUCUCUUAAUGAACUUAUUCUCCUAGUAGAAGCAACAACAAGUUUUCUGAAUAUCCUGUGCAAUCAUUUAAUGCAUCAUAUAUUUAGAAUCAAGGGUUUGCCAUGCAUGUGCACAAAGGUCCUAUCUCUAUUGUGCAAUUAAUUAAUAAUUUUUUGGUCCCCAUUAGGAGAAUAAGCAUAUAACAAACUUUAGCAUGAGGUGAUAAUAGAAGUAGAAGGUUGGAAUCUCAUACGUGAGAAAAUAAUGGUCAGCAGAUACAUGGCGAAUGCAGUCUAACGUGUGAACAAGGCUGUUUGUCACCUUGCAUAAAGUAUAGAUUGUCAUAGAAAAUCGUGAUCUCAUAAAGGAGGGGAGAGGAGGGUUUUGUCAACAGAGAUGACCUGACACAAGGGUAUAAACUUUUUAUGCAUACACAUAAUUAAGGCAUGGACCUGGAAGUUUGGGUUAUGGAAGCAAUUUCCUGCUGUUCCAUGUUCAUUUUGAACCAAUGAUUUAAAUGAUUUAUUUGUUCAGCCAUAUAGUUCUAUCUCAUUUAAUACAUAUCAUCCAAUAUGGUUGCCACAUGCCAGCAUGAUAAAGGGAGUGCACAUCUAGCAAGUUUGUAUCCGUAGAGCCCCAAUAUUGGGCCAUACAUGGUGUAUAGGCCAAUACAGCAGGACACAUGGUCAGCUCAUAAAUACAAUUAAAUGAACUCAAAUUCUAUCAUCUCACUAUAGUUUCAAUUGCUGUUUUUCAUCUUCAAAUCCUCACUAAUCAAUUUUGAGCUUAUUGUCUUUAUUUUGUUGGUUUACACCCAAAAAUGACAAUAAAAAUUAGUUUCUGGAUAGGAUUUCAACAAAAAUAUGAGUGUUUAUGCCUACAUGGCAAGUUGAUUGACAAUUGACAAGAAUAUUUAUUAUAAUGUAGGAUGUUAGUUUGGUAUAGAUGAGGCAAAAAUCAAAUUUGAUAAUCAAAAAAUCUACAAAUGUUUCCCAGAAAGCAAUUAAAAACAUAGUAAAAGUUAAACAGAUAAUAUUUCAGCACCCAUAUUAACAAGCUACUCACAUAUCUCCUGACAAUAACACAAUCUUCCAAUUGUGGGGUAUAUCAUGUGUCUAAAUGACACAAUGCAAUGUGUAUGUCUUUGGCUCUAAUAUGAACAAGCAGGACAUGUGAUGUACCUUCAUUUGUUAAUCAUCUAAAAUUCAAUGCAUAGGCAAAAUAGGUAAUUGAUUGAAAACCAACAAUAUCUAUUUGUGUAGACAAUUAUAUGUACAUAGUAUGUGUAGAGAGAGAGACAGAGAGAAAUCUUAGAAUUAUAGUUUCUUUUUGCAAUAGUUAUCUGGUAUACAAAGGUGACAAAAAAAAAAAAACUCCAUUCAAUUUUACACUAGUGAAGAGCCACAAAUAGGUCUGUUUUAUAAAGUAAACACCUUUAUGCAGAAAUACACCCAUAAGUUUUAAAUUUGUACUAGAAAACAAAAUGGUAGAAAGAAAAAGAAAGAAAAAGAAUCAGCAAAUGAAAAUUGCUAGCAGGUUAUGAGGACAUCUAGACAAGCUUUGCGUAACAAUGAUGGUAAGGAAAAGCAAUGAUGAACUUAAUGAGAAUUAGAGAGGAAAAGAUCUUAUUAGCAUUAUGUCUAACUAAACCUAGCCUCAUAAGAUUUCUAUGAUUACUACGCAUAAUGACCCAAAAACCUGACCAAGGACAAGAACAGCAAGACUUCAAGAGUGGGAAAUUAAAAUGGUUGUCUUGUAUAACUAGAAAUUCAAACAUUAAUAUACCUUUAAAAACCCAUUUAUUAAAGUUUCAAAAGUAAGAAAUUGCAGAAAAGGAUAUGAAUUAACUAAUUAUCAGAUUGGAAGUUUAGGCAAGAAAAGAGAUCAGACGGGUUAAUGGUGAGGGCUCCACUGUGAAGACAUACUAAUGCCAUGCAAUCCUGAUUAAUGGUAGAUAUGGUGUAGGGGAGUUCAAAGGCUAAUCUGAAAAUCACUUAAAAAAUCUAGUUUUCUGUCAGACGUAGAGGUCUUGGUUGAAGAACAUACGACCCUGAGAAGUAUGAAUUGCAUUUGACCUAAAAAGAAGCCUGCACAAGAUAAACAGUGAUUUUUUUCCGCAACAACUCAUUCAUUUCAGGGUGGUCAAAUAUGGGAAAAGGCUGCAGGCAAUUCAAGCAUUUCCUUGGGCAAGGCCUAAAUUCACUGAAACAAUGGAGAAAAUCCCUUGACCACCAAGGAAGAAUGCCCUAUCACUACCUGGAGAUCAGUUGAUGGAGGAUAAUCUGAAAGAAGGGGAAAAUUCGUGAACCUGCAAGGGCAUGAUGAAAUGCCAUAAAGUAAUAUUCAAAAUUACUGUGAGCUGGGGCAUGUUUCUGCAUGUCUAUAGUGAGGAUAUCAGAAUAAGUGAUUUCCAUAGAAAUUAGAUGCAUUUCAAUCAUGUAUAAAAGGUCCUUUAACUUAGAGCAUGAUACACACCUCCAAUUGCAAAAGGUCGCCUCAGUAUCGUCCCUCCAAGAGGCACAGAGUAUAUUUGAGCUCCUUCAUAUUUAUCCCAUCCACCAACAAUCAGGCCCAUUUGUAGCAUGUUCUAAACAAUUCACGAUAAAAAUAAAAUCAUGAAACAAAAUAGAAUAAUAGACAAAGGGCAAAAAGUGAACCAUAUGCAGAUUUCUAGAAGCAGUUUAGGAUAUCAUGAUAUGAGUAUACAGUCGAAUGGGUGGAAAAAGAAUUUGCAGCAGAUAUCACAUUGCGCAAUGUCCAGCAAGAUUUACAAUGCACGAGAAGCAGUACAAUUGUUAGACAAAAACCAUUAUGUCUAUUUUGGUUGCCAGCCAGCUCAUCAUAAUCACCAGGAAAAGACAAUCUUCAUAUAUAAAUAACAAGAAGUACCCAUUUUAUCCUGUAAAAGGACUUUGACAAUGCAAAACUAAAUGGUAUUCCAUCAAUUCUCUCACAGUUUAUUAUGAGAAACAAAUAAUGCCUCUGAACUGAAAGUUCUAAAGAUAAAUAAAUGCCAUGGAGAACUACCUUGUUUUGGUAUGACAAUAAUCGAACUAAGUUAGCAACCACUUUGACAGUAGCAGGCUGCCCAAGUUGAAUUCUGCAUCCAAAAAGAAGUUUUCAUGAAGAUCAGUACCACAGUUGUAAUGCCCCCUGGCAACCAUAUCUAUCCAGCUAAGUAAACAUCUACAAUCACUAAAUACUUCAUGUUUUCCUUGAGUUUAAAAAAAACAUUCUGAUUGAUUAGAGUUGCGCUUUAACUCAAGCUUCACAACUCAAAUAGUUGGAUUUUUCUAAUAAAUGAUAAACUAUAAUAAAUUUAGUAGUUUUAACUCACGUAUGUUGAUGAAGGAAGUAACGGACAUAAUCAGAGACAAUCUGAGAAUCAGCAGCCUGCAAAAGAACCACAAACUUGUAGAGAAACGCUAGGUUGCACCAUAAAAGCUACGAAACCAUGAAUAUUGGAGCAAAAUAAUUAUUUCACUAGGAUAUUUAGCAUCUACAUUCUUGAUCAGUGUUAGCAAAAGGGUAAAAAAAAACAUGAGGAAAUAAUAUUAGUUAUAUAUGAGCACGCAAAAAUAUAUGCAUUAGAAAGGAAUAUAGUUGCCAUCAAUUAUUUGAUGAACGAACGUUAACGCAUAAUGACAACCUCGUUCCAAUAAAAAUAACAAGGGUGUUCUGAAUACCCCAUUCUCGCACUAGUGUUCUACUACUGCUGGAUGUGAAUGCUUACAUGUCCAAUAUAUCAUCAUGCUUCUUUAACAAGAGAGAUAAAGAGAGUAAUUGGUAACUAGAGGUGGAUGAUCCUAGUCAAUUUAAUGUGAAUAAUAAAUAAGUUUACAAAAGGAUACAAAGGCACAUCUUGGUAAUGACGAGGAAAUACAAACUAAAAGGGCAUGAAUCUUGAGAAUCAAAAGUGUAGGAAGAACUUAUGUGGAUUAGCAAGCUCCUUGGUGGUAGUUAGUGUUAACUUUUCCUGUUUGUGAUAGAUGCACAUACUAAUGAUAUCCAUGAUAAGAUCUAUUAAUGCAUGUUACCAGCAAAUAUUGCAACGUUUAUUGAUGAAAUCAAGGAAAGGCGAAAUUUUGGUUAAAAUUUUAAAGUUCAUAUAGUAAGAAAGUUAAUAGGACCAUGAUAAAGCUCAUGCAAUGCAACUUUAUAGGGAUUAUAGGGAUUAUAAGAUGAGUUCAAGGUGGGUUUGGUGUCACUCCUGUUUUUUAAGAAGUUCUGACAAAAGAAGCCAAAAGCUAGGUUUUCUAGCUUCUCCUAAAAUGGCUUUAUUGAAUUUUCUUCUUGUAGAAGCACUUCUUAGUUAAUGCUACCAAACAAAAUUUCUUUAGUAAGUAAUUUUUUACUUUAAAUGUUACAAAAACAGUUUUCUUUUUUAACAACACCAAACACGCCCUCAGAAUGUAGACAAAUUUAGGGGGAUAAGACACUUGUUAGUCAAAUUGCCUUCUCCAACUUAUAUCUAUUAACAGAACGACGUGAGACCUAAAUGGAUGACCUAAUUAGAAUCAACCAUGAUGGAUGAAGUGUGGAUGCACCUAUAAAGAGUCAUGUGAUGAUCAGAUACCAGCUAGAUUUAGAAGAUAAUUCUGAGAAAGUUGCACCACCAUAAUUAUUGUAUGGAUUAGGAUAUUCUAUAGUGAAUAAGGACUAUAAGCACCAGAGGAGCAUAGCAUGGAUGAUGAUGUUAAAGUGAAUGUCCAGCGAAUGUCCUGUAAACCUUGAGGAGUUAGAUAUGUCAAACCCAAGCAUAAUUAAGAGUGGCACCGAUAGCAAACAAGAGAAUAUAAUGAGAUAGUUAUGACAUUUCAGAAAUGUUAUGAGCAGUAGGCCUCCAAUAAAGUUUAAGGAUGUAAAAAAAGGAGAAAGAAAUUAUGAAUAGAUGGCAUCAAAUGUGAUGGGAAAUUCUUUAAACAAAAAAUCGACAAUAGAGGAGUCGACAUCGUUUAGGAACCAACAGCACAAAGCACGAUACACAACAGCAACCAAAAAUAAUGAUUUCAAGCAUGUUUGAUGGGGACAUUAGAGCCGUUCGUUCAGACGAUCGAGUCAUCAGAGCCACUCGUUCGCUUUCGCACUAGGGAUUGACAUCAUUGUGGCUAGGAGAUGAUCUUGAGCUACCAGUUUUAGUCGGGCCUCGGAUUGGGUCCACUCGAGCCCGCAUCAUUUGAGUCUGUUUCAUUUUUAUUUUCUGCAUUUUGCUUUUGUUUAAUCAAGUCAAUUUGGUCAGUUGUUUUGUUAUUAGACAAGCCAAUUGGGUUAACUGUUAAGUCAUGUAAUUGGGUUGAGUGAUUGAAUCAAUUUUGGUAUGUAAUCAAUCGGUUAACUUAGUCAAUUGAUUGAAGAUCCAAGUUUGGUAUGUCGUCAAUUGAUUGACCUGAUGUAAGGCCUAUAUAAAGGCCACCCCUCUCAUGAAUUAGGGCAUUGAAUGAUUGAAUAAAAAACCCUAGCCUUCUUUCUGCUUCUCUUCUUUCUCUCUUUCUCUUCUUCCUCCUCCUUCCCUCUUCCCCUGCAGCGGUCCACCAUCAAUGUUUCUGUGAGGAUUACAUUAGCUUUCCAUCAUAAAGAUCUGAGUUAUUAUGAGCAAGAUAAAUAAUCAAUGGACCAAAACACCUCAUUUAAGCUUCUAUGUUGCUAAUUUUCUGUAUAGUGGUCCCAUAUCAGUCUUCGGUACUCAUAGAGACCAACCUAACACCCACCAAUUGUUUUUAGUCCAUAUUUACAGCAAGUGCACAGCUUAUGUACCCAGCCAAGGAUGAGGACAUGUGCUCUAGAAUUUGUAACCCUAUUGUGAGGAGAAAUGGCAAGGAGGGGGAAAAAUGGUCACAAGAAAAAUGAAAAGGGCUGGUGGAGUAGUAUGUGGAGAGUAGCUCUCAAACUUUUCAUUACGUGAUUGGGCUUAAAAACAUAUGAUGGUGUUUGAAACUAAUGAAGAAAGCCUAAGAUUCACCUCCUGUCUUUAGCGGUUUACAACUGUAAGCAAUCAUCGUGCCGGCAAGUGCCAGAUUACCCCCAAAAAUAGAUCAUAUAAUGCAAAAAAAAUGGUAAUAAAACAUACAAAUGCGGUGUUAAAUUGUUGAAAUAGGGGAAACAACAGAAAUUGCCAAGAAUGCAGAAGGACAUGAUUACCGAUCCAGAACGACAGACAUAAACGUUAUCUGUCAGCUGUGUGAUUUUGUCCGACGCCCGAUUGGCAACAUACAUUCCUACAAAAAUUUAAACCGAUCAAUAAAAACAAAAAAAACAGAUGAAUGACGCAUAAUCGUACUUCAAACUAAUCUUUUAUUAAAAAAACCCUUGUUUACACAACUUCGAUCGUGAAUCGAAUGAAACGUUUGACAGGUGACAAGGUUCAGGUUUCUUUGCUGCGAAUUGCUGACUGUAUAAUAAAGUUGGGGAGAGAGAGAGAGAUUUUCUUCCUUAUUCGAUUUUGAGUUGGAUCGAGUAAAAUACGCACAUUUUCUUUCCAGGAAAAGCUAAAUAAGAUAGGGGAAGAAGUGGGAUACGAAGGAGGCGAAGAUCGGACCUGUGCUCGUCCUGGAAUCGGCUCCAAGGACGACGCCGCCGUCGUAGGUUACCCCGAUGAUGGUCGUUCCCAUGGAGUGGGGCGCGUUGAGAUCGGUAUCCAUGGCCGCUUCGAUCGGAGGAGAGCGAGAAGAGCAAACCCUAACCCUAGACUACUCCGGUGAGGGCAACGCAAAGAAAAUGGCCACCCAGCUCCGGUUAAUACACGGAGCAAGCCCCUCCUCCAAGUAAAAAUGCAGCAGGUCGGUCACGUGCCUACACGGUUCGAUUUGGCUCGAAACUUAAAAGGCGAAACAGAGGGGAAAGUAACAAUCCCGUCCAGUAUAUACCAUGUAGCCCCGAGUACUACUAGUAAAGUAAAACGGUAUUGUUAUUAGGGCUUCCAUGGGUAAAAUUUUUAUAAAAGGUUAUUUACUAUUUGAUAACUAUAUUUCUAAAACACUAUAAAAUUUUAAUAUAUAUAUAUAUAAUAAAUAAAAUAAAAAAAUAAUUUUGAUAUGAUAAAAUGACCAUAAAAAGCAUUGCUUUACAUUAUACAAAAUAAUACAUUAAAAUAUAAUAUAUAUUAAUACAUAGAUAUAUAAUAUAAUAUUAUAUUAUUGUAUUGUAAUAUAGUAUUAUUAUAAUAUAAUAAUAUAAUAUUAUAUAGUAUAAUAUAGUUUGAUAUUAUAUAAUAUAACAUAUCAAUGUAUUAUGAUAUAAUGUAAUAUAAUAUUAUAUUUAUAGUGUAAUACAAUAAUAAAGAUAUAAAAUAUUAUAAUCAUUAUUGUUAUAUAUUAAUAUAUAUAUAAAAGGAUAUUUUUUGUAAUUAUAAUAUUUUAUUAUGAGUAUUUUGGUCUAAAAAGAAAAAAAUUACAAAUCAAAACAGCUUUCACAUACAUACUAAAAGUAUUUUUCCGAAGAAGCUCCAAAAUGGAGCUUCUUAUAAGAAGUUGUUUUAGCUUUCUGGUAAAGCUAAGGUAGUUUUCUGGGUUUUUUUACCAAAUACUCAUAAUCCAUCUAAAAGUACUUUUGGAAAGUCAGAAAAUAUUUUCCGGCCCACCAAAAGCUAUGCCAAAUGGAGCCUACACACGUGGGUACCUGAUAGUAAGGAUAAGUGGAUCGAAUAUUCAUUAGUCGCACAUUUCCAAUUUUGGGCCAAAAAUGGAUGGAAUAUUGGUUUAAUUAUACCCAUAUCCAAUUUUAUUUAAUAAAUAAAAAUUAUUUUCAAAAUUAAUAUCUAUAUUUAUUCUCAACAAAUACUAGUAUGGAUGGAAUAUUAUUAAUAUCUCUAUUUAUUCUAAAUAGAAACAAAUAUUAAUGGAUUAAUUAUAUAUAAUAAUCAAUUGAAACACGUUCCAAUAGUGAGCAUGAGGUCCAUCCAAUAUUAUUGUCCUAAAUAUCAUGUUGAGCUGCAGUAACCAAAAAAAGUGAAUUGGACCGUUCAUCUAGAUCUCUUUAUAGCCCGCGGUACUUUAAUAAAUGGAUAAAAACUCAUGGAAAUUGAUGGGAUAGGUUUACAAAGGAGCAUCCGAAUGAAGCAUCUCGGGUGCUUUGAUUUUGGAAUGAAAUAUGUAAGAUUAUAUAAAUUCGUAAAGUUUAUGCAUUGGUCACUAUUUCUAUUUAGUCAAAUUUAAUCAGAAAGAAGAAGGACAAAAAAAGCUGUUCAAGAGGCCAACUCAUACGCCUAAUCAUACAAGUAGAUGUAUGAAUAUAUUUAUAAAAUACGGAAUAAUUUCAAUCCCAUGAGCACUAGUCUUUUUCUCUUAAAUGAAUUAAUAUGUUAUUAAUGAAAAAAAUAAAAUAUUUCAUCUAACAGAUUACAGAUGAUACUAUUUUAGGAGGCACUAUCCAACAGUUAAAAGAAAAUAAAUAUUAAUUCCAAAAACAACCUCUCCAGCGAUCAACGACCAAUAUUUCUAUUUUAUCUUCCGGAUAUCUUUUGUUGUAUUUGUUAAUCUCUCAGUUUGUAGUCUCUAGUCUCAAUAGUGUUGCACUAUACUUAUUGCUUCCCAAAAGGACGUCACUGAGGCAGGAAAAGUCCUUGAAAGACAAGGCAACACGACCUAAUGCUAUCUAUCCUUUCUAAUUUGGAUACCGAUGGCAUAUCUAUGUAUUAACCCAAUCUAGCUAUCAAAUUUUUUUCACCUUUCAUUAAAGAGAACACUAACCAUAGACUAAUUUAUUGAUUUACUUAUUUCUCCUUGUUCUCCUUAAUUUUCUCAAAAUUCAUAUGCUUAAAUAUGAAAAGAAGGACAUUUGAGAGAAUAAUAAUGGCCAUUGAGAAGUCUCAAAGUUAUGGGCAUGCUUGGAUGUUGAAUUAUGUCAUCUAUCUAUAAAACCUCCUACUCUCCAGAAUUUCCCAACGAAGGUGGUCUCACAAGAGAGCUCAUAUGAUAAUGGAUGGAUGGGAUGCUCUUGAACAUGAUAAACAUAAUUGUUUCAUUGAAACAAACGAUUUUUGUUAUCCCUAAAAUUUAAGGAUAAUGCCUUCCAUGAUCGUUAAAUUUCUUCAUUUAUUCCUUGCUUUUUACUGGGUGCUUUUUGGUUAUAGGAGAUCUUAUCAUUGAUUAAGAUUAUUCAACACCCAAAUAGGGUCUAGGAGUGUUUGAAUGAGAUUAUGUAAGAAUUAAAAAGGAUGAACAGGAGAUUGGCUUUGGUGGUAGCACGGUGAGAUUGGGGCUGGUGAUAAUGGCAUAGGGGAAUGGUGGGAUCAAAUCAACACAAUAGCGAAAUGGUAUUAUGAUGAGAUUGUGAUAGCACAGUAGUGAGAUUAUGCUGUUAUAGUAACAAACAUGGAUAUGAGAAUUUUUUUUCUACCAUGUAUUUGAAUUCAUUUCCAAAUCCGAAAAAAUGAACUCCAUUGUAGAAAUCCAUAUUGAGACCUGUCAGAUAUGAGUUUUCUUUUUCAGAUCUAAUCUUAUCCAGAUAUGAAAUUUGAUCCAGUCAGAUUUAAUUUCAACUGCUUUUAGCCCUAAUUUCCAUAUAAUGAUCACAAAAGAUAAGAAGAGCAAACUACAAUAUGAUUCAAAGAUUUGUUAGGAAUUUUCCAUUAGUUUUACAUCCUUGAAAUUAUUAAAAAACGAAAAUUUAUGUACAUAUCCUUUCGUGAGAAUGAAUUAGUAUGAAGUCCCUUGAUUUACAACAAGUUUUGAUGUUUUUUUAAUGUGCGACACUAUCAAUAUUAGAAAAUGCAUUUUGACUAUAUUUUUUUAUUAUUCGUUCAUCCUUAUAAAUUUAAUCUUCAGACAUGGAUUUCUCUUCACUCUCUCCCUUCUUAUACUUUUGUUUCUUUCAAAAGACCAAUUUGGGACUCUAUCUUAGUUUUUGUAGCAUUUGGAUAGUGUUUAUCACCUAUGAGCUCCUACCUCCGAGUUUUUUUAAUGUCAAUUUCGACAGAUAUGUAAUGGAUGAUGGUAAGAGAGGUGGAGCAGGUUUUAUGAUUAGAGCCCCAGACUCCAGACUUGUCACUGCUAGCGGUAGUUCGAUCUUCAGUAUUUCAAUUUCAGAAGCAGAGCUAAGGACCGUUUGGGCUUGCUUUAGCUAUGCUCGACGUAUCCUAAGAGUUGACACCGUUUUGGUUGAGGGUGGUUAUGCUACACUGAUUGGUUGGAUCUCGAGGUGGGCUAGAAAGGUGGGUACACACCUCUUGCUUUUGGAUACAUCGAGUUUGGCAAGAGGUUGCAUCUCCUUUGUAGUGAGACAUAUCUAUCGAGAGGCGAACAAGGUUGCGAAUUGGGUGCCCUCUUUCGUGGCUGACUACUCUGGUUGGGUGUGUUUGAACCGAUGUGAUGCUUCCUCUGAGGGCUUUUGAGAACUUGUUGCUUUCUGACUCUCUUGGAUGUAUUCAUAUCAGAAUGCUGAAAAACACCCGUCUUAGCAAAAAAAAAAAAAUCAAUCGAGAUGAAAAUUGUUUGAGAUAGAAGUGGUCAAACAAUUUGGAUAUAAAAACCAUGAUUGGAGCAUUGUGAGGGCUAUGCCAAAAUUGAGAUUAAAUAUACACCAAAAAGUUAUGCAAAUUCGAAACUAACAAUAUUAUCUCUUAAUUUUAGUUAUCACUUGUAUAUUAAAAAUGUCAUUCUUUUCUCUAUAAUGCAUAAUUUGUUUUCUCCUGCUAAUGCUGGCCUAUAGAAAUAUUUUGAUGUAUUUUUGGCUCAAACCUAACAAUUUUUUUUUGGUCAAACUAGAUAAUAUUAGAGUAAAACUAAUUUGUGAAAUCAAUCUAAAACAUUGACAAAAAUAUAGAAAAAUAUUGGCUCUGUCUUGAAAUAAAAAAGGAUAAAAAUAAAAAAAUAUUUAUCCUAAAUCAAAUUUCAUUAUCAGUAAUAAUAUUGAAACUUCUAUUUAAAUAAUAUCUUUAUCAUAUAACAUAAUAUAACUUGGAAUCUUAUUUUCAUUUUUCUUUUGCAUCGCAUGUGCCUGGUUGUUGGUAUUACUUAAGCGGACUUUGUGAAGGAAGGCAGCAUUUAAAAAAUUUUAAAAAGUAUGUAAUUAUAUUUUUUUGAUACAAACUAGAUAAUUAUUUUAAAACUAGGCGAGUAUUGGAAAAGGAAUCUAGAUCUGGACGUGUCAAAAUGAAAUUAUCAAAACAGAUAAUUAAAAUGACCAAAACACCCUCGUCAGGAGUAUUUAUUUUUCCCAACUCAAGUCGGCGCCCGUGGCUUCUCCGGUGUACAAAGCGAAUCCCAGAAGGGACACGCUGGUCAUUAUAUUUGGAAGCAUCCGACCUUAGACCCGUUUGGCGGGCUCCUUUUCGGAUCCCUUCUCUGAACGAAACCCGGCGAUUCAGUGUUCUAGGGUUUUCGAAUCGCCACGGCGUCGUCCGCCGCUCCUUCUUCGUGUCUCCCGGUAAGCAGUCUCCCUCCCGAACCCUAACCCUGCUUCCUUCGCGUCUCCCGGUCAGCAGUCUUUGUUCCGAACCCUAAGUCGUUGUUUCCUCUAUGACUUCAUCUAAUGGGAAAAAAAAACACUAGCCCGGAGCUGUGUCCAGCGCCGGAUUCCGGCUCAUUCGCGGCAGAUUUCGGCGUCUUCGAGACUACGUUGGUCGGGAUUUUGGUGAAAACCCUAGCUCGGAGGAAGGAAUCUUGCUUCUGAAACUCGAAUUGAGAUCAGCAACCAAUCGAAGUUCCUCCUCAUAUUGGAUUUCUGUGAGAAAAUCAUUUUUAUUGUUUGAUCUUUUCAUUUAUUUUUUGUCAUCCUCGGAGUGUCUAAGCUGUCGCAAGAACCCUAGUGUUCUUUUCUUUUCUUGUGGGUCUCUUGUUACAGAGCAGCAAGUUUAGUGGAAUCAGCGUGCUGUUCCCGGCAUUUUGCUGCCCGUUGAAUUCAAGAACCCUAGUUUGUGCGAGAUAUUGUUUUUAUUCGGAUUACCUUUUUCAAGACAUAUUUUCUUUGGUGAAUUUGAAAGCGUGUCUGCUUAUUUAUUUGAAGGCUAUCAUGGUUAAAGAAGUUCACAUGUCAUAUAUCUAUCUAUCUAUCUAUUAUAACUGAGGAUUAAAAAAAUUCAAAAUUAUUGCGGUAUUUGAAUGUUUAUAAUACCUAGUUAUAACUUUAGAAAUUCUCCAUUAUCUGCAAUGUCGAGCUUGAUUUUUUUUUUUUUAAAUUCAGAGAGACCAGCGAAAGGGCUGUACUUACUAUAUUUAAUGUCAAAAAGAAUAAAUAUCGUUAAGAGGACAACUAGAUCAAGUUUAGUGUUGAAGAGAUUUGGGUCUGCCACCUCCACAUUAUCUGGUAAGCCCUGCUUGUAAGAUGGAGGAAGCUUUGAUUCCUGGCAAGCGGAAAGUGCCUGAGCAAGAUUCAGAGGGCAAAUCUGCAUUCAUCAAUGAGGCUGCAAAGCCUGAAUCGGUUCCAAAACGAAGAAAUCUUUCCCGCUCGUGCAUUCAUGAAGUUGCUGUUCCUAAUGGAUAUGCUUCUUCCAAAGAUGAAUCCAUCCAUGGAACCCUGUCCAAUCCAGUCUAUAAUGGCAAGAUGGCCAAAACCUACCCGUUUGAAUUAGACCCCUUCCAGCGUGUAUCGGUGGCAUGCCUGGAAAGGAAUGAAUCUGUCUUAGUAUCAGCACACACUUCAGCGGGGAAGACUGCAGUUGCUGAGUAUGCUAUUGCAAUGUCAUUUAGAGACAAGCAGAGAGUCAUUUACACCUCACCUUUGAAGGCUCUGAGCAAUCAGAAGUACAGAGAGCUCAGUCAGGAGUUCUCUGAUGUUGGCCUGAUGACUGGUGAUGUCACCCUUGCACCAAACGCCAGCUGCUUAGUCAUGACGACAGAAAUUCUCAGAGGGAUGCUCUACAGAGGUUCUGAGGUGAUAAAGGAAGUAGCUUGGGUUAUCUUUGAUGAAAUUCACUAUAUGAAGGAUCGGGAGAGAGGGGUUGUUUGGGAAGAGAGUAUAAUAUUCUUGCCCCCUGCAAUUAAGAUGGUUUUUCUCUCUGCCACCAUGUCGAAUGCCACAGAGUUUGCUGAGUGGAUAUGUAAUCUGCACAAGCAGCCCUGUCACGUGGUGUAUACAGACUACAGACCCACGCCAUUGCAACAUUAUUUGUUUCCGAUGGGUGGGUCGGGUUUGUACCUCGUUGUGGAUGAGAACGAGCAGUUUAAAGAGGAGAAUUUCAUGAAGAUGCAGGACACAUUCACAAAGCAAAAGAGUCAUUCGGAUGGGAAUAGGAGUGGUGGUGCCAAAGCCGGUGGUAGGAUUGCAAAGGGUGGGACUGCUUCCACGGGUUCUGACAUCUACAAAAUUGUAAAGGUGCACUUUUUUUAGCAUGUUAUUUUUUUCGGUCUUGGAUUUCUUGAAUAUUUGCUUAUGGCAACUCAUACGCAUGAUGCAACCAUAUUUACGGUUGUAUUCUGAUGCCAACAAAUUUAAGGUAAUUUUUUCAUGUGUUAUGCAAUUCUCAGGUUCCUGAUGCGUUUGAAAUCUAUAAUUUUUAACUUAAACAACUUUUUAUUGUAUUUCCAAGCAUCAGAUGACAUAAUUGCAAUAUGCUCGCAUGCAUAUAUGACAUUAUCCAUCUCUAAGAAAUUGAUAUCAUAUCGCUGUUCUUUGUUACUGUGAUGCUGUUUAUAGUCAUGGGUAGUUUUUCUGAUAUGACAUAGGGAUGGCUGAGGGCAGGAUGUGGGUUGGGUUUUUGGGGAGACAGAUGUUUGGAGGGUGUGUAGAAAGGGAAAGAUGAGGUUAAGCAUCAUUGUGGGUGGGUUACAAAAGAACAAGUUGAGAUAGGGCGCAUAUUGUUAAGUUUUUACUUCCUUAAAUAUGAGACUUUGAAUGGAUGUGAUUUUUUAACCUUAAUGUGAUUAUGUAUGUGAGAGAGUGUGUCAGAGAGAGAGAGUCACGAGAUUUAAAAAUUUAGGAUAGCAAAGGCUGGUGAAAUUGGAUAAUUUAGGAGAGAGAAGGGGGCAAGAUUAUAUGAUAUUUUAGAUAAUUAAAUUAGGAAGGAGGCAAUUAUUUAAGCUAUAAGGAGGUCAAAGUCAUGCUAUUUCUUAU